rnacentral:rRNA from 1 species
UACGGAGGGGGCUAGCGUUGUUCGGAAUUACUGGGCGUAAAGCGCACGUAGGCGGCUUUGUAGGUUAGAGGUGAAAGCCCAGAGCUCAACUCUGGAAUUGCCUUUAAGACUGCAUCGCUUGAAUCAUGGAGAGGUGAGUGGAAUUCCGAGUGUAGAGGUGAAAUUCGUAGAAAUUCGGAAGAACACCAGUGGCGAAGGCGACUCACUGGACAUGUAUUGACGCUGAGGUGCGAAAGCGUGGGGAGCAAACAGG